ACUAACUACUGGGUGCAGCGCAUGUCCGAGGUGCACCGAAGACCCCGGACCAAAAAAAAUGGCACAAACCAAACUCUCCGACUUCCAGGCGCCGCAGGAAGAUCGACAGCAUGGAAUGCGGCACUAGGAAAUAUUCACUGAAUACAAAGCUGAUCAAGUGAUAUCUGCAAUGUGGUAAAGUGCUUUCUGUCACUCGGAUCCAUUUUUAUAUAAACCAAUUAGUUUUAUUUUCGUACGUGUUCUGCAAAUUAUCAGAUAUUUUUUAUUCUCUUUUGAAUCACCUGAUGUUUAUUGUGAAAAUUAACUUUUGUAAUUUAUUGUUCGUCUGUCCUAUAAAUUGUAGUUUGACACAAUAUAAAAUGGUAUAACUAUUUUUGAUAGUUUUACUGUAAAAUAUAUUCCCUUUACAUAUUGAGACAAAAUGUAAAUAUGAAACUAAAA